rnacentral:misc_RNA from 1 species
AAGUCGUAACAAGGUCUCCGUAGGUGAACCUGCGGAGGGAUCAUUAACACGUGUAAAAACGUAUACAAUAACCCUACCUAACAACCAAUACCGUGAACUAUGUUAUUUAAACUAUUUUUGUUUUUUUUUAAACCCUUUUCCAACUUUAUUAUUUUUUUGAACUUCGUUUUUUUAUUCUUUUUUGUUACAAGCAAUGGAGAAUAGAUAAAUGCAAAUAUAUAAAAAAAUACAAAAGCACAACUCUUAGCAACGGAUAUCUUGGUUCUC